rnacentral:rRNA from 1 species
GACGAACGCUGGCGGCGUGCCUAAUACAUGCAAGUUGAGCGCUGAAGGUUGGUACUUGUACCAACUGGAUGAGCAGCGAACGGGUGAGUAAUGCGUGGGGAAUCUGCCUUUGAGCGGGGGACAACAUUUGGAGACGAAUGCUAAUACCGCAUAAAAACUUUAAACACAAGUUUUAAGUUUGAAAGAUGCAAUUGCAUCACUCAAAGAUGAUCCCGCGUUGUAUUAGCUAGUUGGUGAGGUAAAGGCUCACCAAGGCGAUGAUACAUAGCCGACCUGAGAGGGUGAUCGGCCACAUUGGGACUGAGACACGGCCCAAACUCCUACGGGAGGCAGCAGUAGGGAAUCUUCGGCAAUGGACGAAAGUCUGACCGAGCAACGCCGCGUGAGUGAAGAAGGUUUUCGGAUCGUAAAACUCUGUUGGUAGAGAAGAACGUUGGUGAGAGUGGAAAGCUCAUCAAGUGACGGUAACUACCCAGAAAGGGACGGCUAACUACGUG